CCCUCCAUGACGGCGCGAGGAGGAGCGAACACUACGGGUCGGCCGGAGGGACAAACGGGGCGGCAGGACGGACCGCGAAGCGCCCUUCCCCCGCGGGGCCGAAGCAGGCGCGCCGCAACCCGGGAGUGAAGCGGGAAGGGGGAAAUGGAGGGAUAAGGGAUAACUGUUCACCCUUCUGGAAGUGCUCCUCAGCUGAUGCCUCCCUGUGCAGAAGUUUUCCAUCGCCUUUCGUCCAGUACCACAAUCAGUAAAAUUCUCCUUGCGUACAGCAGUGAAGUAGCUCUUCCCUAGUGCUGGUUUUCCUUCCCUCCUAGCUGGUAGUGCUGGCGAUGGAAUUGGAUCAUCUGCAGGUUGCUAAGCGGUGUGACUGGGCAAAAAGAAUUAAUCUUCUUACCUCCUAUUUCAAAUGACGAUUGCUCUUCUGAGCAUCUCUUAAGUAUCUUUUUAAAGUACCAUAGAGGUGAGCUGACCACAUACAGCAUUUCAUUGACCUUACAGAGACAUAUAAAUUUAACUUUAUACUGCACAGAAGUAAUUGGAAGUUGUAUGAUGAUCCAUUUUUCAAGAAAUGCAUUCAGUUUUACUUCUUCAUUGGACAUAUAACAUAUGAUCAUGUGUGAUUAAUUUUCUUAAACCUUCAGUGGAAUUGGAUUUCUUAGAAACUUCAAACUUAUUUUCGAAUCAAUAAAAAUGUCCCCAACUAA